ensembl:lncRNA
CCCCAGCUCCUAAAGGGCCCCUCGGACCCGCCUUCGGGUGGCGCGCGUCUGCGGGUCCCCAGGCUUCUCUAGGCAGCCUUCUCUACCCCAGGGCCAGACCCCGCGCCCCGAAGCUUUGGCAACUGGAACCGGGGCUGGCGCCCAGAACGCGGACCUUGAGCCCCGCCCUUUCACUAGGCCUUCUUCCAAUGCAGUGGAGAGCUCGGCGUGAUGCAGAUGAGGAAACAAGUGGCUGGCGCUGGACUGGAGGUCGACCUGCUCCUAAGCGGAAGCUGCCAAAUUCCACAGCUUCCUCUCCCUCACCUUUCGACUGAGUUGCACUCUCUCUCAGCUUUUGACGCUGGGCAUCAUCUCCGUAUUGAAUCACUCCUGGCACCACAGGCCCUGGUUUCUCCAUACAGCUUUGGACGAGCACUUCCUCAGCUUCCUUUGUGCCUUUCUCUUCCUACCUUUAACAAGUCACCAGAGCCUCAGGCUGGGUCCACUUCUCUUUCCAUUCUGACACUGUCCCUGAG